GUGAAUUUAGUGGAGGUAAAAUGUGCCAGUUCUUCUAUUUCCCCACAGAUCAGCUACACCACAGGCAGCAGCAGCGUUCCCACACACUGCCCAGACAGUGUGCCUUGACCUGCCCUGGAGGGACCUUCCUAGGGCAAGAGAACAUUGGGUAAUCUCCAUGUCCAUUCAGUUCUUGCCCUUU
rnacentral:sRNA from 1 species